rnacentral:pre_miRNA from 1 species
AUACUAACCACCUGGAGAACUAGUUAAAAAGCAGAUUCUGAUUCAAGGGGUCAGGGAUGGGACCUAAGAUCUACAUUUCUAACAAGCUUCUAGGUGGUGCUGAU